UACCAAAGUUCUAAUGGUGUUUACCUGAAAUGUUUCUAUCAUUCCCAAACUUUCAGGGUUUCUGUUGGUGAUUGGCGAGGAACAGAUUGCACUUUCCUGAACUGAAAUCUAAUGAAUGCCACAAAGUGAAAAUAAACUGGAGACACUUGAAAAAAGAAAAAGAAAAGAAAACUCACUUCAAGAACCCGAAGCUUUCCUACCCCUCUUCUUUUCCCCUCACUUGCAGCCAGCUAAGCUCCCCACACAUUCUGAUCGUCUCCCUGCACAGUGUCUGUGGUGGUGACAACUGAUUCAUGUGUUCAUUUGCAUAUCCCCCGGUGCCAGCAGCAGAAUACAGAACGGGCCUCCUGUGCCGGCAGCCAACACAGCACUGGCAAAUCAGGGAGCUGUCAGAAACAGCUGUCCAUUAACGGAGUUUGUGGAAACAACCAGGAGCUGUUUGAAAAUGCUAGGUGGUAGAAUUUAAUUGGAGUAGCAACUGUUCAAAAUUAAGAUUAAAAGGACCAGUCAGUCAAUGUGGAUUUCGUGACACCUUAAAAAUAACGUUUCAGGUUUGAUUAAUGCUGCAUGAAGUUUGCACAUUUCUCUCCUUUGCUGAUAGGGCCUGCGUGCUGAUAGUUGAUUCAGUGAAUGUAUCUAGCAGUGAUAGCUCAUGGGCUCCAAAGGUCAGAUAUCUUAUUCUCUAUGCUGAAGCCCUUGUUGCUUUAAGGAAACAGGAUUUUAAUAGGAAUCACAUGCAGAUCGACUACAGGGAGCCAAGCGGUAGUGGAAGAAGCAAAGUUGGCGGUUUUGGAGACGGACGUCUAUUUAUCCACAGUGGGACAAAAAUGAAGGUUAUUGAAAAGAAUCAUGCUUGGUGGAAGAAGUAAUUACAUUUUUUUUUCAAAUCUCAGAGGAAUAAUGCUUUUAUAUUUCCUGCGAUGACCCAAUUUGCACUACAAUAUGCUCCCUUAAAUCUUCCGCGAUGUGUUCUCUGUGUGGAGCCCCAAAACCAAUACUGUAACUUCGGGAGGUUCUGUUUCAACAAAGACAUCUUGAGCUCACUGUGAAAGAAGAAAUCAUAAGGAUUAGAGAAAGGAGCUUUGCAAAGUGAUUUAAACAGAAGAGAGGACCACCCCGCCAACAAAAUGUCCAGGUCCUAUUCCAUGGAACCUAUGAACAGGUUGCCCCACAUUGCAAAAGGGACUUCACAGAUGUCGAAGAGCUACAGAAGAUGCGAUAAUGGAAGCGGAAUCAAAGACAGAUUUGAAGAUGCUGCCGUCUUUGGAGAGAAUGGCCAGGAGGCAAGGAACACAAGCAGCCCCUAGAAGUUGGAAAAGAUUCUCCUUAUUUACUCCUGGGUUGAAAGAACAUGAAAGUUACUGCAAAAGCAUUUCAAACGUCAUCAUGAUAGAGGGAAUCAAACAAUUUAAUUAAGAGUGAAACAUCAAUGUAAAAUGCUGACGAUUUCAUCCUUGAGGUGCUGAUGGUUCAUAUUAGUAUGGAAAGAAUGCAGAAACAGGAGUGAUAAGGGGGAACUGAGGACUAAAUUUUUCUAAAGGUCUUCCUAAGGGUCCUGGAAGAAGUCACGUUUAUAAGCCAGAACUUACAUAUCUUUCUGCUGUCCCAAAAUUUUUAAACAAAACUACUCUUCCUUAAUCAACUGCAAAUCAGAAAAUCUUGGAAUCUACUUAUGACCUGUAAGCCUCUGCUUCAAGAUACCCCACCCGUUUAGACCAAAGCAAUGACUAACCUCCAUGUAUUGAGGUAUGAUUUUGCCUGUAACUUCUGCUUUCUUGAAAGUUACCCAUACCUUUAAAGACCCUUGCUUGCAAGCCACUGAGAAGAUGGGUCUAAAGUGUGCAUUGCCCCAUUCUCCUUGCCUGGUUCCCUGCAAAUAAAUGCCCUCCUUUCUGCAGUGGCAAACCUCAGUGUGGAUAUUUGGUUUUACCCCACUGGAUGAGUGGAUCCACUUUGGUUUGGUAACAAAACCUAUGGGGGAAUAUAAAAAGCUCUAACGUACACAUUAUUGGUGUCCCAGAAAACAAAAAUAAACCAUUAAGUAGGAAAAAGUAUUUGCGGAAGUGAUGACCAAAAAUUUCUCAAAGUCAUAGUUUUCAUAAGCUCAAUGAUGCUCAUAUAGGGUACAUACAAAUAAUACCACAUCUUUUCUCGUAAGCGUUAGACUGCUGAAAACCAAAGGAAAAGACAAACUCCUAAAGCUGGCUGAGAAAAAUGUCAUCAUGUUUAGAAAAAAAGACAAAUUGUCCUUGGCUCUCUAUUAGAAAAAUUGGAGUCCAGAAAAUCAUGGAAUACUGUCUUAAAAGUUCUAGAAGAAAAAAAAAUAUGUACACACACAUAUAUAUUUAUAUACAUAUAUAUAUAUCAACCCAGAAAUCUACAGGCAGUGAAAAUAUUUUUUAAGAGUAAAAGCAAAAUUAAUAUACUUCCAAAUCAAAGAAGAUUAAGAGAUUAGUCACAAGCAGAAUUAUGCUAUAAAAAAAGUAAAGCUCUUCAGGCAGAAAGGAAAUUAUGCCAGAUAGAAAACUGCAUAUUUCGAGUUGAAUAAAAAAGAAGUCACUGGAAAUGUAUAAAUGGAAAUGGUAAAUACACAAGAUGCAGGGAAUCAAUGAAGAUUUUUGAGUAUACGUCUGAAUUAUUCUGUGAGCUUGUUAUUCAUUUAUUAAUCUGUGAAAUGUCCCAAGAAAAUAUAAAGAACAUUUCAAAGAUAUAUAUUAUAUAGCUAUGAUAUUGUAAAAUAUAUAUUUGGCCUUUUACCCUGUUUCUGGCAAUA